GAUGAACGCUGGCGGCGUGCCUAAUACAUGCCAGUCGAGCGAACGGACGAGAAGCUUGCUUCUCUGAUGUUAGCGGCGGACGGGUGAGUAACACGUGGAUAACCUACCUAUAAGACUGGGAUAACUUCGGGAAACCGGAGCUAAUACCGGAUGAUAUUUUGAACCGCAUGGUUCAAAAGUGAAAGACGGUCUUGCUGUCACUUAUAGAUGGAUCCGCGCUGCAUUAGCUAGUUGGUAAGGUAACGGCUUACCAAGGCAACGAUGCAUAGCCGACCUGAGAGGGUGAUCGGCCACACUGGAACUGAGACACGGUCCAGACUCCUACGGGAGGCAGCAGUAGGGAAUCUUCCGCAAUGGGCGAAAGCCUGACGGAGCAACGCCGCGUGAGUGACGAAGGUCUUCGGAUCGUAAAACUCUGUUAUUAGGGAAGAACAUAUGUGUAAGUAACUGUGCACAUCUUGACGGUACCUAAUCAGAAAGCCACGGCUAACUACGUG
rnacentral:rRNA from 1 species